rnacentral:lncRNA from 1 species
CAGGAAAUAAAUGACAAAUGAUUUGUUGGAAUAAAUCAAAUUUGGCCAUCAUAUUUUUUUAGAAUAAUUUAUGUAUUUGAAUCAAGUCAAGUGUCUCAUGGCAAUCCAUUCAUGUAUGUGAAUCUAGUCAAGUGUCUUAUAAAGUUCCAUAGUUUGGAUCUAGUCAAGUGAAUUAAAUGUUUCGAUGUUUCCUAUGCUAUUGAUAUGUAUAAAUAAGACCACAUGUUGCAGUAGGCAAAUAAAAAGUAAAUUUUCAGAUUAUCUCUCUCCAAAUUAUCCAAAUUAUAUUGCCUUCAAACUAGUUUCAGA